rnacentral:rRNA from 1 species
UAGUAGGUCUGCGAAUGGCUCAUUAAACCAGCAGGAAUCUACCCCCAUAAGAAAGAGCGAUCUUUCCAUUCGGAUAACUUCGCUAACUGCGUAGCUAAUACGUGUACGAAACAUCUGAGCUUCAUUCCACACAGGGGUAACCAUCCCCCUGUGGAAGCGAGGAUACACAGGACCGAUAUAAAAACCAACCCACGUGAGUGGAGCGUAAUUGUUGACUCAGGUUCUGCAUAGUAAUAGCGCAUUUUGGCGCAAGUGGGGACGACCUUCUGCCCUAUCAGCUUCGAUGGUAAGGUAGUGGCUUACCAUGGCGUUAACGGGUAACGGAGAAUCAGGGUUCGAUUCCGGAGAGGGAGCCUGAGAAACGGCUACCACAGUUAAGACUGGCAGCAGGCGCGCAAAUUACCCAAUGCCAACACUGGUGAGGUAGCAACGAAAAAUAGUAACUUCGCGUCACUCAGUGGCGUGAAGAUUGCAAUGGAUGAUAUUUAAAUCUCUCAAUGAGUAUCGAUUGGAGGGCAAGUCUGGUGCCAGCAGCCGCGGUAAUUCCAGCUCCAAAAGCGUAUACUAAUGCUGUUGCUGUUAAAAAGCUCGUAGUUGGAUUUAGAGUUGAAGGUAUCCAAUGACGGUUCAGGCCUUAGUUCCGGGGUUUCGGCUUCUGUUCUAAGGUUCUGUUCUCGAUUACCCAUUGGAAUUACGCCUUCACUCUUUUUACUCGGAAAAGAUGAGCCGUGGAAGUGUCCUUAAUUGGUCAUUGAAGCGAUUCCGCGUCUAAAACACGCAUACGCUCCGUCCGAGGUGCUACUGUGAACAAAACAGCGUGUCCAAAGCAACCAUCUUCGUAUGGCUGAAUGAUAAAGCAUGGUACAGCAAGGUAUCGACCUAAGGUCUGCCUUUUUGUUGGUUUUCCAAGGCCUUAUGGGCAAUUAUGGGCCAGAAGUCCAUUAUCUUCCCGAUCCUUGCCUUCGGGUUCGGACAGGGUCGAUUUUGGUGCUGGUUUCUUUCGGGAUCAAGAGGAACAGUCGGGGUGGUAGGUAUUGUUACGCUAGUGGUGAAAUACUUAGACCGUAGCAAGACCAACGACAGCGAAGGCAUUCCGCCAGAAUGUUUUCAUUAAUCAAGAACGAGAGUCUGGGGAUCGAAGAUGAUUAGAUACCGUCGUAGUCCAGCACCGUAAACUAUGCCAGCUCGGAAUCGGGCGCUUGGUCUUUAUAUUGCCUCGCCCGGCAUCAAACCUCAUAACGAGAAAUCAAAGCCUAUGGGUUCAGGGGGGAGUACAUUCGCAAGGCUGAAACUUAAAGGAAUUGACGGAAUGACACCACCAGGCGUGGGUUAUGCGGCUUAAUUUGACUCAACACGGGGAAACUUACCAGGUCAGGACAUAGUGAGGAUUGACAGAUUGAGAGCUCUUUCUUGAUUUUGUGGAUGGUGGUGCAUGGCCGUCUCUGGUUCGUGAGGUGACUUGUCUGCUUAAUUGCGAUAACGAACGAGAUCACUGGGUCUAUCUAGCCCUCAGUGUCGUAUAUAGGUACACGGGUGCGAGGGGUUCGCUUCUCAAAACCUGUGGAGACAGCUGAGAUGGUACUCAGGCCGACUGUUCAUGGCUAUAAUGGACGGAAGAAAGUGCCAAUGGCAGGUCUGUGAUGCUCCUAGACGUCCUGGGCUGCACGCGCAACACAAUAAUCCACCUAACGAGUUUACGGCUUCGGCCUCCUGCUUCGAAAGGAUUGGGAAAUCUUGUGAAAGUGGAUUGUGCUUGGGAUAGAUGAUUGCAAUUAUUUGCCUUGAACGAGGAAUGCCUAGUAGAGGUGAUUCAUCAGAUCACCUUGACUAUGUCCCUGCCAUUUGUACACACCGCCCGUCGUUGCUACCGAUUGGAUGAUACAUAGAGAUUUUAGGAGGACGAUUCAUGGUUCGCCGUGUCCUGUCCAAA